GACGAACGCUGGCGGCGUGCUUAACACAUGCAAGUCGAACGGAAAGGCCCUGCUUUUGUGGGGUGCUCGAGUGGCGAACGGGUGAGUAACACGUGAGUAACCUGCCCUUGACUUUGGGAUAACUUCAGGAAACUGGGGCUAAUACCGGAUAGGAGCUCCUGCUGCAUGGUGGGGGUUGGAAAGUUUCGGCGGUUGGGGAUGGACUAGCGGCUUAUCAGCUUGUUGGGGGGGUAGUGGCUUACAAAGGCUUUGACGGGUAGCCGGCCUGAGAGGGUGACCGGCCACAUUGGGACUGAGAUACGGCCCAGACUCCUACGGGACGCAGCAGUGGGGAAUAUUGCACAAUGGGCGGAAGCCUGAUGCAGCAACGCCGCGUGCGGGAUGACGGCCUUCGGGUUGUAAACCGCUUUCGCAUGUGACGAAGCGUGAGUGACGGUAAUGGGUAAAGAAGCACCGGCUAACUACGUG
rnacentral:rRNA from 1 species